CUGAAUAACUACUCCGAUCGCACGGUCUCGCACCGGCGACGCAUCUUUCAAGUGUCUGCCUUAUCAACUGUCGAUGGUAGUUUAUGUGCCUACCAUGGUUGUAACGGGUAACGGAGAAUAAGGGUUCGACUCCGGAGAGGGAGCCCGAGAAACGGCUACCACAUCCAAGGAAGGCAGCAGGCGCGCAAAUUACCCACUCUCAGCACGAGGAGGUAGUGACGAAAAAUAACGAGACGGAUCUCUUUGAGGCCCGUUAUCGGAAUGAGAACAAUUCAAAUCCUUUAACGAGGAUCUAGCGGAGGGCAAGUCUGGUGCCAGCAGCCGCGGUAAUUCCAGCUCCGCAGGUGUAUAUCUAUGCUGCUGCGGUUAAAAAG
rnacentral:rRNA from 1 species